rnacentral:rRNA from 1 species
UUUCAUAAUAACCUUCUCGAAUCGCAUGGCCUUGUGCGCGGCGAUGCUUCAUUCAAAUAUCUGCCCUAUCAACUUUCGAUGGUCAGGAUCAGCAGGCUACAUGGUUUCAACGGGUAACGGGGAAUAAGGGUUCGAUUCCAGGAGAGGGAGCCUGAGAAACUGGCUACCACAUCCAAGGAAGGCAGCAGGCGCGCAAAUUACCCAAUCCCGACACGGGGAGGUAGUGACAAUAACAUAACAAUAUAGGGCUCUUUCGGGUCUUGAUAAUUGGAAUGAGUACAAUUUAAAUCCCUUAACGAGGAACAAUUGGGAGGGCAAGUCUGGUGCCAGAGCCGAGGGAAAUUCCAGCUCCAAUAGCGUAUAUUACAGUUGUGCAGUUAAAAAGCUCGUAGUUUGAAA